ACCCAACUGACGAGUUUCAAAUAGGAUGAAACGUGCGUCUUGGAU
rnacentral:hammerhead_ribozyme from 1 species